UGCAAGUCGAACGAAGCACUUUAUUUGAUUUCCUUCGGGACUGAUUAUUUUGUGACUGAGUGGCGGACGGGUGAGUAACGCGUGGGUAACCUGCCUUGUACAGGGGGGAUAACAGUUGGAAACGGCUGCUAAUACCGCAUAAGCGCACAGCAUCGCAUGAUGCAGUGUGAAAAACUCCGGUGGUAUAAGAUGGACCCGCGUUGGAUUAGCUAGUUGGUGAGGUAACGGCCCACCAAGGCGACGAUCCAUAGCCGACCUGAGGGGGUGACCGGCCACAUUGGGACUGAGACACGGCCCAAACUCCUACGGGAGGCAGCAGUGGGGAAUAUUGCACAAUGGGCGAAAGCCUGAUGCAGCGACGCCGCGUGAGCGAAGAAGUAUUUCGGUAUGUAAAGCUCUAUCAGCAGGGAAGAUAAUGACGGUACCUGACUAAGAAGCACCGGCUAAAUACGUGCCAGCAGCCGCGGUAAUACGUAUGGUGCAAGCGUUAUCCGGAUUUACUGGGUGUAAAGGGAGCGCAGGCGGUGCGGCAAGUCUGAUGUGAAAGCCCGGGGCUCAACCCCGGUACUGCAUUGGAAACUGUCGUACUAGAGUGUCGGAGGGGUAAGCGGAAUUCCUAGUGUAGCGGUGAAAUGCGUAGAUAUUAGGAGGAACACCAGUGGCGAAGGCGGCUUACUGGACGAUAACUGACGCUGAGGCUCGAAA
rnacentral:rRNA from 1 species